rnacentral:rRNA from 1 species
CCUACGGGAGGCAGCAGUGAGGAAUAUUGGUCAAUGGGGGAAACCCUGAUCCAGCGACGCCGCGUGAGUGAAGAAGUAUUUCGGUAUGUAAAGCUCUGUCAGCAGGGAAGAAAGAAAUGACGGUACCAGACCAAGAAGCCCCGGCUAACUACGUGCCAGCAGCCGCGGUAAUACGUAGGGGGCAAGCGUUAUCCGGAAUUACUGGGUGUAAAGGGAGCGUAGACGGUGAUGCAAGUCUGGAGUGAAAGGCGGGGGCCCAACCCCCGGACUGCUCUGGAAACUGUGUAACUGGAGUGCAGGAGAGGUAAGCGGAAUUCCUAGUGUAGCGGUGAAAUGCGUAGAUAUUAGGAGGAACACCAGUGGCGAAGGCGGCUUACUGGACUGUAACUGACGUUGAGGCGCGAAAGCGUGGGGAGCAAACAGGAUUAGAUACCCGUGUAGUC